rnacentral:rRNA from 1 species
UACGUAGGGGGCUAGCGUUGUCCGGAUUUAUUGGGCGUAAAGAGCGUGUAGGCGGCCAUGUAGGUCCGGUGUGAAAACUCGAGGCUCAACCUCGAGAUGUCGGCGGAAACCGUCUGGCUAGAGUCCGGAAGAGGAGAGUGGAAUUCCUGGUGUAGCGGUGAAAUGCGCAGAUAUCAGGAGGAACACCAGCGGCGAAGGCGCUGCUCUGGGCCGGUACUGACGCUGAGGAGCGAAAGCGUGGGGAGCGAACAGG